rnacentral:lncRNA from 1 species
ACCACCCCCACCCCCCGUCCCCGUCCCCCACCUCCACCAUGGCCGGGUGCUGCGCCCGGCGGGCGUCCAGGUGAGCCAGCAGCGCCUGCGCCAGCACCGCCGUGUCCUCGGGGCCCCUGGGGACACGGGGACGUGGGACAGGGGGACACGGGGACAGGGGACAGGGGGACACAGGUUUUGGGGACAUAGGACAUGGGACACAGGGACAGGGGGAUAUGGGGGCAGGGGACAUGGGACACAGGGACAUGGAUGUUGGGGACAGGGGGACGUCGGUGUUGGGGACGGGACAUGGGACAUGGGGAGAUGGGGACAUGGGGACAGAGUGACAUGGGGACACAGAAACAGUGACAUGGGGACAUCGGUUGGGGACAUGGGGAC